rnacentral:rRNA from 1 species
AUGCACGCUGGCGGCGUGCCUAAUACAUGCCAGUCGAGCGAACAGACGAGGAGCUUGCUCCUCUGACGUUAGCGGCGGACGGGUGAGUAACACGUGGAUAACCUACCUAUAAGACUGGGAUAACUUCGGGAAACCGGAGCUAAUACCGGAUAAUAUAUUGAACCGCAUGGUUCAAUAGUGAAAGACGGUUUUGCUGUCACUUAUAGAUGGAUCCGCGCCGCAUUAGCUAGUUGGUAAGGUAACGGCUUACCAAGGCAACGAUGCGUAGCCGACCUGAGAGGGUGAUCGGCCACACUGGAACUGAGACACGGUCCAGACUCCUACGGGAGGCAGCAGUAGGGAAUCUUCUGCAAUGGGCGAAAGCCUGACGGAGCAACGCCGCGUGAGUGAUGAAGGUCUUCGGAUCGUAAAACUCUGUUAUUAGGGAAGAACAAAUGUGUAAGUAACUAUGCACGUCUUGACGGUACCUAAUCAGAAAGCCACGGCUAACUACGUG